CCAGAUUGCUGCAGAAUGUUUCCAGCCCCUUUGAGAGGUGUCCUGGGCAGUCUGCCCGUUUCGGGCUCCCUCCUUGGCUGAGGCUAUGAGAACUCACAGUAGGUUUGAGUGCAACCUCAGAACUGUCCUGGGGUGGAAAGAGGGUGUAAACAAUUGUGUUCGAGUUUUGUAUGAGUUGUUUUACAUACAGAAAUUUAUUUAUGGCUGUUCCACUUCUUAGAUACACAAGCUGGGGCAAAGAAUUAAUUACCCAGCGUUUUCUACUCGACUCACAGUCAGAGGAAGGAGAAAAAAAGAAUUAUCAACUACUUGUUAAUCAUGAGCACGUGGCCCCCACGCCAUCUGGUGCUUGAGGAUUGAUAAUGUUAACAUCUGUGUUGCCUCAAAUCCAACCAGAGAAUUGCGGAAGAGCAGGUCACGUGCCUGGGAGGGCCCGCCCGCCCUCAGCUGAGCCGUUAAAAGGGCUCAAGCGAAGCGCUUCCGGUUUCCGGGAAUUUUGAGGCAGGAAGCGUUUGUUCUCCGUGCCCUGCUUUGUAAAGUUUUUUCCAGUUCCAAACUAACAUUUCGGUUUGUUUGGCCUCACGUUGCAGCAGGCACGUGAAUUUUGCGUUCAGUAACGAUUUUGGUGACGCCGCACAGGAGUCUGUGCCUGUGGCAGGUCAACUCCGGCCCGGGGCAGCCCCUUCUCUCGCCGCCCCGGCCGAGGCUGUUUGGAGCUGAGAAUCUUCUGGAGCUGCGUCCACACUCCACGUCGCCUGAGGUCUUUUGUCAUAGCUUAGCUGGUGCUUUGCAAGACUGCCGAAUCUUCAAGAAGAUUCAUAGAGAGGACUUUCUGACAAGCACAGGCUUCUUCUAAAUCACACUGCUGAAUGGGGACAACUGGUAAUGUUCCAAAGUGCCGAUGCUCACCACUCCGGCUCCCAGGAUGCAGGUGUCAGGUACAGAGCUGCAGCCGACCCUUCAAGGAAAUAGAAGUGAAAAGCAUCACUACUACCAUGCGUGGAAAAGCAGCCGCUGCCUCCAAGUGCGACACCGAAUUCAGCACCAGACCCACGCACAGGCCGGCACGUUCCGAGGGAUGACCCUCAGAGGAGCCCAACGACUCUGAC